UACGAAGGGGGCUAGCGUUGCUCGGAAUCACUGGGCGUAAAGGGUGCGUAGGCGGGGCUUUAAGUCAGGGGUGAAAUCCUGGAGCUCAACUCCAGAACUGCCUUUGAUACUGAAGAUCUUGAGUCCGGGAGAGGUGAGUGGAACUGCGAGUGUAGAGGUGAAAUUCGUAGAUAUUCGCAAGAACACCAGUGGCGAAGGCGGCUCACUGGCCCGGUACUGACGCUGAGGCACGAAAGCGUGGGGAGCAAACAGG
rnacentral:rRNA from 1 species